AUGUAUAUUGUCAAUUAACCGUUGUUCCAUCAUUUUAAAUCGUUUUUCGUUUUCUAUUUCGAACGCUUCCAUUCGUUUUUCAACGGCUUUGGAAACUGCCAAUUCAAAUUCUUCAGUGUUGUGCUUCUCAGUUUCCUCAUUGCUCAUUUUCUUUCUCCUCUUAUUUGAUAACAUAGAGUCAUUGCCAACUCUAAAUCCCAGAAUGCGCCCAUUUUUCUU
rnacentral:lncRNA from 1 species